UCCAAAUCAAAUUAGAUAUUUCUAAAAGAUGCUGAGUUACUCUAAAAAAACUAAAGCUUAUUUUGGUAUUGAGGUCUAGUUAUCUGACAUUAUUAGAUAAAAUAGAGUUAGGAUAAAAACAUAUAGAGAUAUAAUUUUGCGUUCUCCGGUGAAACAGAAAAAAAUAUAUUAUAACCUACUCAUGGCGAUGUGCUGAAUGUAAUAUUAUGUACGAAUAUAAAUAGAAUAUUUUUCAUCAUACUUUCUUACUGUAUAUAGUGCAAUCUCAAAUGAAGCUUAAUUUUAAUUUUUUAAGUUUUUUGUUUUUAUUUACAAUGAGCAUAGUAGAUAAGGCAUGAAUAUCUUGGAAUUUUUGAGUUUUAUCCACUGCGGAUAAAGUGGCGGUAAGAUUAUCAGAAUUCAUUGGAAAGGAUAAGGUGGGAUAAAUGUGGAUAGAAUAAAAGGUGUUGAUGCCAAAAAUAUUAGGCGGGUGAGGCGUAAUUUCUACUAUCAUAGUUACAGCACUUCUCUACUACUAAAACCGACCAAUAAUGUGGGCUAAAAAGACAUCACAUAAAUAGUAACUUCGAAGUCUGUAAUAGGGGUCUUUUCUCCGAGAAUAGAAGAUCACCUUUAUUUUCUCUAUAAUUUUCUCGUAUUUUUUAGGGGUAGUCUACUUGUAAUUCUUUACUUUCCUACACUUACUGCUUUUCUCUAGGAGUAGAAUCUUAGCUAGAUCAACCGAGUCCGUAUGCCCUCAGGCACAUUCGACCUUUGUACUGUUUCCACAAGUUACAUUCAAUAUAUAUAAUGGCAUUCGACUCUUUCAGCUGAUCAGUCAGUGUGUAUUCCAUCUGUUCGGCUUUUCUGCUGACCCAAGUCUUUGUGCAGUCCGUACAUUUGGCUCAUCCAGCCGAACUGAUUCUACAGUAGAGCUUUUCGAACUCGGCUGAUCUGAUCCCUUGUUAGCCGAAUCGCUUGAUCUAGUCGAAGGGCGCAAACUUCGAGAGUCACUAAGCUUAGCCGUCCUGCAUCUCGAUACGCUUUCCGAGGAAAAUUUUUGACCAGAUCAAAGAAAGGCGAAAAAGAGUUAUAUAUUUCAAAUUUUUAUAAUAAAAAA
rnacentral:lncRNA from 1 species